rnacentral:rRNA from 1 species
CCUACGGGGGGCAGCAGUGAGGAAUAUUGGUCAAUGGGCGGGAGCCUGAACCAGCCAAGUCGCGUGAGGGAAGACGGUCCUAUGGAUUGUAAACCUCUUUAGGCGGGGAGCAAUGCCGGGCACGUGUGCCCGGAGGGAGAGUACCCGCAGAAUAAGCAUCGGCUAACUCCGUGCCAGCGGCCGCGGUAAUACGGAGGAUGCGAGCGUUAUACGGAUUUAUUGGGGUUAAGGGGUGCGUAGGCGGAUUUUUAAGUCAGCGGUAAAAGGUCCGGGCUCAACCCGGGCCGGCCGUUGAAACUGGGGAUCUUGAGUGGGCGAGAAGUAUGCGGAAUGCGUGGUGUAGCGGUGAAAUGCAUAGAUAUCACGCAGAACUCCGAUUGCGAAGGCAGCAUACCGGCGCCCGACUGACGCUGAGGCACGAAAGCGUGGGGAUCGAACAGGAUUAGAUACCCCGGUAGUC